CUAAAUACUUUUGCCAGCAAAUGCUUUUGGGGGUGCUUUUUAUUUAUGGAUUUUUCACAAUGCCGGAGAGCUUUUGUCUUUUUUAGUGCUUUAUAUUUAUAGUUGUGGGAUGAUCAUUUUCUGGUUGGUUUCACAUUGAGCUCUUUUAGAACUAGUUGGAGUAGUAAUAGUUUCACACAGUUUAUACUUUCUCCCCCUGAGUCCUAUGUUAAAUCUUUUUCACUCUCUCAGUGACACUGCAGUAUAUUAUGCUAUACAUUCUUAGGCUAUUAACUUUGGGCAUUGCUAAUGAUUUCUUUUUUAUAUAUAUACAGGACAUAAAACAUGUAAAUGUUUCUUAUUAAAACAAGAAAACUCAAAACACAAUCAACCCUAUCAGAAAAGAGAGAGAGAGAGAGAGAGAGAGCAAGAGAGCUGGAGAGAUUUUUUUCCUUCUUCAAGUAAGAUUGCAAGACUGAAACAGAGAGGAUUCAGAACAACACAGAAGAUUAGAGAGAUGUUAAUAAUCAUCAAAACUCGAGACAAGGCCUCCGACCUACUGCUGUAGCUGAAAGAGCUACUUCGGGAGAGACACCCUCGUCCAGCCAGCCCUGUGUUGCCUUCAUCUUCUCCAGUUACCCAGGGAGACCCAAAAGUUGUCUCUUCUCCGAGUAGGGAACCAGUGGAAUGGAUCCCUGAAACUCAGUGAACAUAGCGUUGCUUCACUCCAGCAUUUCCAUGCACACGAGCAUUCUGUUACCUCUGACACAAUUGCAUCUGGCAUGGAAUUUGUCUUCUAAGCCCAACUCAGGGACAUCCCAGGAGAUACUCAAAUGGAUUUUGCUCAGAGUUGGUCCUGAUCACAUGUCAUGAACGAGAAAGCGGUAGUGUGAGGGGAGCGGAUUUCCUCAGCACCUCUCUGACAUCGUGGUGGCCCCCUUUGUCGGAGCAGGGAAGCCACACUUCGGGGCCUCAGCCACUCUGUGGUCAUCUGGAAGGUCCUCAAUAUCCAUUGCUUUCAAAGUGUCAGUGAUACCAAAGCCUAUCAUAAGAUACCAUUUCAUAUUAAACCAUUGGUGUAAUACCUUCCAUGGUCAUAAUAAAGGGCUCAAGUUUCCUUAAACA
rnacentral:lncRNA from 1 species